rnacentral:tRNA from 1 species
GUGGUUGUGGCUCAGUGGUAGAGCGCUCACCUAGCAUGCGUGAGGCACUGGAUUCGAUACUCAGCACCACA